rnacentral:rRNA from 1 species
GACGAACCGUCCUAACGUUAUUCGGAAUCACUGGGCUUAAAGGGCGCGUAGGCGGAUGAGCAAGUCCGGAGUGAAAUCCUUCGGCUUAACCGGAGAAGUGCUUUGGAUACUGCUUGUCUUGAGGGAGGUAGGGGCAUGUGGAACUUCUGGUGGAGCGGUGAAAUGCGUUGAUAUCAGAAGGAACGCCGGUGGCGAAAGCGACGUGCUGGCCCUCUUCUGACGCUGAGGCGCGAAAGCUAGGGGAGCAAACGGGAUUAGAUACCCCGGUAGUCCUAGCCCUAAACGAUGGGUACUAGGUUGUGGACUUAACAUGGGUUCACAGCCGAAGCAAAAGUGUUAAGUACCCCGCCUGGGGAGUAUGGUCGCAAGGCUGAA